UCCUGUCAGGAUUCAGGUUGGAGUGAGGGUUCUUUCCAGAGACGAGCUACGCGGAGGAGUUUGACAGCCUGACGCACCUGCAUCGGAUUCCGGUAACCAGCGGCAGGCUUCUUAAGAAGCGGUGGAACCACCAGUCAUCGCUCGAUGGUUACCACUUGUUGAUCCUGAUCCCGCUUCCCGGAGCCAAGCCUGGAACUUCACCGGUCAGGCGCGUCUCGUUGGUUGGCACCUCCAAGCAGUUCUGAUCCGCUGCAGCCCGGGACCCCCGAACCUACCUGGACUCUCGUUCCCUCCUGACGUCCCCCAGUCUCAAUUCUCGAACCAUUGUUUGACCUCAUUAAAACAAACCCUCUUAACCGUAAAAAUCUGUUCUUCUGUGCGCACCUGCAUGUGGGCAAGGAAAUUAAAAUCCAACAUGACAA